AUGUUCGAGUUAGUUGAGAAGCAGCUACCCUUGAUGUAUGAUUUCCUAUAUACCAAGGCAGUGGUGGUCUUCACAUGGUAUGGAUGCUCCAUCCGUGCCAUUUCAUUGGUUGCCAGCAUCACCACUUCCUUCCUAUUUCAAUCAAGCAUUGGCAAAAAUGACUUCAACAGAGGUGAUGUCAUUGUCACAUACAUCUUAAUAGCUGGGGCUGUCCUCCUAGAGAUGGCAGGAUUGUUGAAGGCAAUGGGAUCAACAUGGACAUGCGCAUUGUUGCAUGCUAGAAGAUGGCAGUGGCUUCACAGCAUAGUCGUAUCUGUCCGGCGGCGUGUCAAUGCUGCGGAAAGAAAUAGAAGAUGGUCAGGUUCCAUCGGAUACCCCGAGUUGUUGAACUCGUCCCAUGGCAGUGGAGGCUGUGCGCCGAGCUUGGGAUGCAAAGAUUUGUGGAAGAAGCUGCACCAUUCCUUACCUGUCAUUUCAGAUGGUACUAAGAAGUUGGUGUUGGAAGAGGUACGAAGAAUGGUGGAGGCAUGUGAAGGUAAAGAGGAUAUCAUGAGGAGUUACAGUGGUCAGUGCGCGCUGCUCGGAUUUUUCAAGGAUCCCACCUCACACGCUGGCAUUGAUUUUGAUGAAAAAGUCGUUUCCUGGUACUUUGCCACCAAAAUGUUUUUCUCAUGGUCGUCUUGUUUGGAAGAGCGUGGUCAUGUUGAGGCAGUCAGGGCAGUGUCCAACUACAUGCUAUUCCGCCUUGCUGAAUGUCCAUACAUGCUACCUAGCCCUGUUCACCCUGGAUUGCUUUAG
rnacentral:rRNA from 1 species